rnacentral:rRNA from 1 species
UCCGGUAGGCGGUGCGGCAAGUCGAUAGGUGAAAUCCCUGGGCUUAACCCAGGGGCUGCUAACGAAACUGCCGUGCUCGAGUGUGAGAGAGGCGAGUGGAAUUACGGGUGUAGCGGUGAAAUGCGUAGAUAUCCGUAGGAACAUCCGAGGCGAAAGCGGCUCGCUGGAUCACAACUGACGCUGAGGGACGAAAGCUAGGGGAGCAAACAGGAUUAGAUACCCUGGUAGUCCUAGCCCUAAACCAUCAGGACUUGGGGUUUGCCCUGUACGGGGCAAGUCCCGUAGCUAACGCGUUAAGUCCUGCGCCUGGGGAGUACGGUCGCAAGGCUGAA